rnacentral:rRNA from 1 species
UACAUGUGGGGCAAGCGUUGUUCGGAAUUACUGGGCAUAAAGGGUGCGUAGGCGGCUUGUUAGGUCACUGGUGAAAGUUUUCGGCCCAACCGGAAAAUUGCCUGUGAUACCGGCGAGCUUGAGUGCGGGAGGGGUGGGGGGAACGAGCAGUGUAGCGGUGAAAUGCGUAGAUAUUGCUCGGAAGGCCGGAGCCGAAGGGGCCCCACUGGUACGUAACUGACGCUGAGGCACGAAAGCGUGGGGAGCAAACAGG